GAGAGAGAGAGAGAGACUUCUCUCGUUUCUCUCUGCAUGUCGGGGACAACUUGUCCCCUCCCGCAUUUUUUUUUCGUUCUCCAGCCACCGGCCACCAAAUCCGGUGAAUAAAUACUCUAAAAUCAUCUACUUGUUGUAAGGAGUUUGAUUCAAGCCUUGGUUUACGCGAUUUGAGCCCAGAUCGAGAGAAAACUCAACCGAAAUGGUUUGGCACUGUCGCAGCAACUUUUCCUAUGACUUGAGGCUUCAAGGUGCAAUUGGAUUUUCCGAACACCGCGCACGGUGGUCGGUGGGGACGGUCGGUCACCGGCCGGCGACCCUCUGGCAAGGCUCUGGAGGCAUAAUCUUCUCCUCUUCAUGUUGAUGUCAAAUAUAUGUUUAUAAAGUUCCAAAAUGUCAAGACAAGGCUGGAAGAGUGCAGUAAUAAAGAUAGCCCUUUUAAAGACUAUGAAGAACUAUAGUAGGAGGAAAGAAGAACCCUAUAGACCCAUCCGAGUCGAAAUACAGAUAUAUUAAAAUUAUUAAUAGUUGUAUUAAGCAUGUAAAUGAAAAGGAUUGUAAUUUAUGGAGUUCCGUAAUUGUAUUCCAAAUGGAUUAUAAUUGAAUAAUAUGGG